AUUUUGCAGUUUAUCGGCUGGCAUUAGAUGCCGGCCUGCGCUUUCCCCUUCACCCUUUCAUCAGCCAACUUCUUCAGUAUUACGGCAUAGGACAUAAUCAGCUUGCCCCUAACUCUUGGCAAAACAUCCUUACCUUUCUGGCCGUCUGCAACUUAAAGGGAAAGGACCCUUCUCUGGCCGCUUUCACCCAUAUUCACUACGUUGCCAAGGUCCCUAGGACCAUUGAAGGAAGCUGGCUGAGCGUGUGCAACCGUCAAGGAUUCUUGACGUCUUGGGAUAAGACUUCCAAGAUGCACUCAUGGAAGGGCGAGUUCCUCUUUGUCCAGGCGCCCAAUAAAGCGGUGGCAAACCGUCUUCGGUAUUUUAGCCGGACAACCACAAAUACUGGACGGAUGGCCUCAUACCUGGAACUGGAGAGUAACUCUGCCGAAGAGAUGGUGGAGUACUUCCGGGUUUCGGAGUAUACUAUGGAAGAUGUUUCUUUCAAGGGUCCGUCCAAUUGGAUUCCUUUUAAGGAAAUGUUUUACCAUGACAACUUCCUAGUCGCUGCCGGCUUACGGCAGGACGAGGACAGAGAUUCAGCCAGGAGCAAACUAAGGAAGUCUUGGAUUGGAGACAUGAGCUCGUCCAGAUUUGCGGAUACUCUAUGGAAGGAGUACAGUAAGUCAGGUGCCGAAAAGAGGGCCGACACUCUG